rnacentral:rRNA from 1 species
AGCGAACGCUGGCGGCAGGCUUAACACAUGCAAGUCGAGCGGGCGUAGCAAUACGUCAGCGGCAGACGGGUGAGUAACGCGUGGGAACGUACCUUUUGGUUCGGAACAACCCAGGGAAACUUGGGCUAAUACCGGAUAAGCCCUUACGGGGAAAGAUUUAUCGCCGAAAGACCGGCCCGCGUCUGAUUAGCUAGUUGGUGAGGUAACGGCUCACCAAGGCGACGAUCAGUAGCUGGUCUGAGAGGANGAUCAGCCACAUUGGGACUGAGACACGGCCCAAACUCCUACGGGAGGCAGCAGUGGGGAAUAUUGGACAAUGGGCGCAAGCCUGAUCCAGCCAUGCCGCGUGAGUGAUGAAGGCCCUAGGGUUGUAAAGCUCUUUUGUGCGGGAAGAUAAUGACGGUACCGCAAGAAUAAGCCCCGGCUAACUUCGUGCCAGCCGCCGCCGUAAC